rnacentral:rRNA from 1 species
CGAAAACGAAUUCUCUCUUGAGUGGAUCCUGAGUACGACGGAGCACGUGAAAUUCCGUCGGAAUCUGGGAGGACCAUCUCCUAAGGCUAAAUACUCUCUAGUGACCGAUAGUGAACCAGUACCGUGAGGGAAAGGUGAAAAGUACCCCGGAAGGGGAGUGAAAGAGAACUUGAAACCGUGUGCUUACAAGUAGUCAGAGCCCGUUAAUGGGUGAUGGCGUGCCUUUUGUAGAAUGAACCGGCGAGUUACGAUCUGAUGCAAGGUUAAGCAGAAAAUGUGGAGCCGUAGCGAAAGCGAGUCUGAAUAGGGCGAAUGAGUAUUUGGUCGUAGACCCGAAACCAGGUGAUCUACCCUUGGUCAGGUUGAAGUUCAGGUAACACUGAAUGGAGGACCGAACCGACUUACGUUGAAAAGUGAGCGGAUGAACUGAGGGUAGCGGAGAAAUUCCAAUCGAACUUGGAGAUAGCUGGUUCUCUCCGAAAUAGCUUUAGGGCUAGCCUCAAGUGAUGAUUAUUGGAGGUAGAGCACUGUUUGGACGAGGGGCCCCUCUCGGGUUACCGAAUUCAGACAAACUCCGAAUGCCAAAUAAUUUAACUUGGGAGUCAGAAUGUGGGUGAUAAGGUCCAUAUUCGAAAGGGAAACAGCCCAGACCACCAGCUAAGGUCCCAAAAUAUAUGUUAAGUGGAAAAGGAUGUGGCGUUGCCCAGACAACUAGGAUGUUGGCUUAGAAGCAGCCAUCAUUUAAAGAGUGCGUAAUAGCUCACUAGUCGAGUGACACUGCGCCGAAAAUGUACCGGGGCUAAACAUAUUACCGAAGCUGUGGAUUGUCCAUUGGACAAUGGUAGGAGAGCGUUCUAAGGGCGUUGAAGCAUGAUCGCAAGGACAUGUGGAGCGCUUAGAAGUGAGAAUGCCGGUGUGAGUAGCGAAAGACGGGUGAGAAUCCCGUCCACCGAUUGACUAAGGUUUCCAGAGGAAGGCUCGUCCGCUCUGGGUUAGUCGGGUCCUAAGCUGAGGCCGACAGGCGUAGGCGAUGGAUAACAGGUUGAUAUUCCUGUACCACCAUUAUUCGUUUUAAGCGAUGGGGGGGACGCAGUAGGAUAGGCGAAGCGUGCUGUUGGAGUGCACGUCCAAGCAGUGAGAUCGAGUGUUAGGCAAAUCCGGCACUCUUAAGAUUGAGCUGUGAUGGGGAGAGGAACUUGUUCCUCGAGUCGUUGAUUUCACACUGCCGAGAAAAGCCUCUAGCUAGAAUAACGGUGCCCGUACCGCAAACCGACACAGGUAGUCAAGAUGAGAAUUCUAAGGUGAGCGAGCGAACUCUCGUUAAGGAACUCGGCAAAAUGACCCCGUAACUUCGGGAGAAGGGGUGCUCUUUGAGGUUCACGCUUCGAAGAGCCGCAGUGAAUAGGCCCAAGCGACUGUUUAUCAAAAACACAGGUCUCUGCUAAACCGUAAGGUGACGUAUAGGGGCUGACGCCUGCCCGGUGCUGGAAGGUUAAGAGGAGUGGUUAGCGCAAGCGAAGCUACGAAUCGAAGCCCCAGUAAACGGCGGCCGUAACUAUAACGGUCCUAAGGUAGCGAAAUUCCUUGUCGGGUAAGUUCCGACCCGCACGAAAGGCGUAACGAUUUGGGCACUGUCUCAACGAGAGACUCGGUGAAAUCAUAGUACCGGUGAAGAUGCCGGUUACCCGCGACAGGACGGAAAGACCCCGUGGAGCUUUACUGUAGCCUGAUAUUGAAAUUCGGUACAGUUUGUACAGGAUAGGUAGGAGCCUUAGAAGCGUGAGCGCUAGCUUACGUGGAGGCAUUGGUGGGAUACUACCCUAAUUGUAUUGGAUUUCUAACCCGCAGCACUUAUCGUGCUGGGAGACAGUGUCAGGCGGGCAGUUUGACUGGGGCGGUCGCCUCCUAAAGAGUAACGGAGGCGCUCAAAGGUUCCCUCAGAAUGGUUGGAAAUCAUUCAUAGAGUGUAAAGGCAUAAGGGAGCUUGACUGCGAGACCUACAAGUCGAGCAGGGUCGAAAGACGGACUUAGUGAUCCGGUGGUUCCGCAUGGAAGGGCCAUCGCUCAACGGAUAAAAGCUACCCCGGGGAUAACAGGCUUAUCUCCCCCAAGAGUUCACAUCGACGGGGAGGUUUGGCACCUCGAUGUCGGCUCAUCGCAUCCUGGGGCUGUAGUCGGUCCCAAGGGUUGGGCUGUUCGCCCAUUAAAGCGGUACGCGAGCUGGGUUCAGAACGUCGUGAGACAGUUCGGUCCCUAUCCGUCGUG